UGGCUCAGUGGUUAAGCACUUGGCUGCUAAUCAAAAAGCUGGUGGUUCAAACUCACC
rnacentral:tRNA from 1 species